rnacentral:rRNA from 1 species
GACGGAGGAUGCAAGCGUUAUCCGGAAUGAUUGGGCGUAAAGCGUCCGCAGGUGGCAGUUCAAGUCUGCUGUCAAAGACCGGGGCUUAACUUCGGAAAGGCAGUGGAAACUGAACAGCUAGAGUAUGGUAGGGGCAGAGGGAAUUCUUGGUGUAGCGGUGAAAUGCGUAGAGAUCAGGAAGAACAUCGGUGGCGAAGGCGCUCUGCUGGACCAUAACUGACACUCAGGGACGAAAGCUAGGGGAGCGAACAGG